AGCAGCCGCGGUAAUUCCAGCUCCAAUAGCGUAUAUUAAAGUUGUUGCAGUUAAAAAGCUCGUAGUUGAAUUUCGGGAUUAGUACGUUGGUCGUGCCUUCGGUAUGUACUGAUGUUACUGGUUCCUACCUUCUGAAGAACCGUUAUGUCAUUAAUUUGAUGUGGCGGGGAAUCAGGACUGUUACUUUGAAAAAAUUAGAGUGUUUAAAGCAGGCUCGCGCUUGAAUACAUUAGCAUGGAAUAAUGAAAUAGGACGUUCGAUCCUAUUUUGUUGGUUUCUAGGAUUGACGUAAUGAUUAAUAGGGAUAGUUGGGGGCAUUAGUAUUCAAUUGUCAGAGGUGAAAUUCUUGGAUUUAU
rnacentral:rRNA from 1 species